rnacentral:rRNA from 1 species
CCUACGGGAGGCAGCAGUGGGGAAUAUUGGGCACUGGGCGCAAGCCUGACCCAGCAACGCCGCGUGAAGGAAGAAGGCUUUCGGGUUGUAAACUUCUUUUCUGGGGGACGAACAAAUGACGGUACCCCAGGCAUAAGCCACGGCUAACUACGUGCCAUCAGCCGCGGUAAUACGUAGGUGGCAAGCGUUAUCCGGAUUUAUUGGGUGUAAAGGGCGUGUAGGCGGGAAUGCAAGUCAGAUGUGAAAACUAUGGGCUCAACCCAUAGCCUGCAUUUGAAACUGUAUUUCUUGAGUGCUGGAGAGGCAAUCGGAAUGCCGUGUGUAGCGGGGAAAUGCGUAGAUAUACGGAGGAACACCAGUGGCGAAGGCGGAUUGCUGGACAGUAACUGACGCUGAGGCGCGAAAGCGUGGGGAGCAAACAGGAUUAGAUACCCCAGUAGUC